CCUGAGGACAAGCACACAGACAUAUAAAACACCGAAGGUCGACAGAGAGCAGCCACCGUGCGGGGCUCAAAGCGCUCAGCGAGAGCAGCUUAGCGCGGAGCCGCAGGAAAACAAAGAGCGCGGCUAUGAAUAGGCUGGAGGUGCAGAAAACACCAGGAGGAACAUCCAGCAGUAGCGAGGCUGCUCAUCCCUGAAGCCAGCAGUGCCGCCGCCGCUGCUGCACUGCGGCUGCUCGCCUCCGCGCUCCCUGGGAGAAGCUCCGGCGGCGGAGAUGCUGGUUCUCUUCCCGCUAAGAACACCUUCCCGGCGGGGAACACCGCAACCACGCUCCUGGGGAAAAGAACCCUUAAUUGAGUUUAUUUACCUAUUUCGACAGGCAUCCAUCUUUACUCGGAGAACAGGCAGGAGUAAUCGAUCUGUGCAAGAGUUCCACCGAUGGCCUCCUCCCGUGCCGCACUCAUUACCCAGCUGCCUUCGCUUUGUUUGCCUUCUUCUUCCGCUCGUUUGAACUCCAAUGAAACAGCAAGGAAAACUA